AAAAUUUGGGGGUUAGUUUUCUCUUCUGAGCUGAGCAUAUAAUUAUGCAAAUAGUGAUCUGACAGUGAUCCGCUGGAGGAGUGCUGAAGAAAAGUGUGUGUGUGUGUUCAGUGUGUGUGUGUGUGUUUGAGGAGGGGGCUGUCAGAGGGGUGACAUUCCAACUUGGGUCCUUUUUGCGCGGAGUUCAUCUUCUGCAGAGCUGCGCGCACAUCACAGAAAGGCCGGAGCAGGCAAGCGUGACAACAACUCUCUGAGAGUAAAAAAAAAAAUUAAAAUAUCAGACUGUGGCAGCACAGGGGGAUCCCCAACUUAUUUCAUGUCAAGGACCCCACCCUUCUCCACCCAUCCCUCCUCCCCCCAAAAAGCCACCAGUAACAGCAGCAGGACCCCCCAUUUGGCAGGAUUUGAUCGUAAAGCUCCGCAGCUGAUGUUAUUUUCUGUAGCAGAUAUGAUUCAGUGUGGAGCUGUCUGUAACUAUCUGUAGCGCGAGUUGACGACAAUAGCUGGCAGGGUGAAAGCUAUAAUCAAAUCAGUCAUAGCUAUUAUACAUUCACACGCUGCAUGCGCUCACUUCCAGCCAGUCAAAGGAGAGACGAGACGGGGACUGUCUCACGUUUGGUUUGGUUUUUGGGAUCCCUGAUCCUCGGGGGAAAGUCUAAACUUAAACCCCACAGACACUUGGAGAUUAUGUUACAGGAGGGAGCAUCAUGUGACAAAAUGAGGCCCGGUUAUUGAUCUGCAAAGAUGGGAC